AGUGAACGCUGGCGGCAGGCUUUACACAUGCAAGUCGAACGGUAACAGGCCGAGAGGUUCUUAUGACGGGCGGACGGGUGAGUACGGGAGCGGAACACGUCCGAACGUAGUUGAUAGCUAGGGGAAACGGUAGGAAACACCGGCUAAUACCGAAUGAGACAAACGGGUGACCGUAAGGGCUCUCCGGACCUUACCCGACGAUGUCAGAUUAGGUAGGUGGAGGGGUAAAGGCUCACCAAGGCCACGAUCUGUAGCUGGUCUGAGAGGACGACCAGCCACACUGGGACUGAGACACGGCCCAGACUCCUACGGGAGGCAGCAGUGGGGAAUUUUGGACAAUGGGCGCAAGCCUGAUCCAGCAAUGCCGCGUGCAGGAAGAAGGCCUUCGGGUUGUAAACUGCUUUUGUACGGAACGAAAAGGCUCUGGUUAAUACCCGGGGCUAAUGACGGUACCGUAAGAAUAAGCACCGGCUAACUACGUG
rnacentral:rRNA from 1 species